AAUUGGCCACAAACCGAUCAAGCUCCCAUAGAGUCUCGGUGUCAAGGGCCUCAAUGUCGAGCUCAAUCUCAUCACCGUCUUGGGCUAAAUGUUCAUUCCUCUUCCUUAUAAUCUGCACCAACUGCGGCAUCUUCUCUUGUGGCAAACUUUGCAACCCAACUCCUAAUUUAUGCUUUUCCUCCAUAUUCAUCUCUCUUUUAUUUGGAUCCUUGGCCCUCGGUUUAGGUUGCUUUCCCAUAGUAGGAACUUUAGCAGCUGAUUGAGGCUUCGCAGCUGGUGCCCUCACUGGGGACGGAGUUGACAAUGGUGACUGCUGUCGGGCUGGUGGAUUGGGUGGUGGCACUGGCAAAGAGGGUGUUGACGCACUAGAAUGAUUUUGCAUCCGCUCUUGCUUCUUUGAAAUGUUAGGGACUGGGGUAGGUUUGGGUUUCUUCACUCUCUCGGGAGUAGGUAUGUGAUUCCAAGAACUCCCCUGCAACUCAUCUACAGGGUGAUAAUCCCGCCUGCCGCCUUCAAGCUUAUUCAUUUUAUCCUGGAGCGGUCUAAACAUGUCCUCAAAUCGUCCGAGAAGCUGCUCAGCGAAGCCAUUAACUUGAUCUGUUUUAGGGUUAUACAACAAGGCAUUAUUGAAAGUAAGCCUAACAUCAGCAGCAAAUUCAAAAGGGGAAGGGUAAAAAUUCUUAGCCAAAUUUGAUUUAACCGUCCCCAAAUCCAUGGGUCGCUUAAUAAUUUGGUGGUAAUCAUGAAGACCCAAGGCUUCAGCAUCAACAGGGAUAUUGAAAAUCCACCCAUUUUUGUGCUUCAUCAGCUUUGCCAAAAUCUGCCUACAUUCCUUCAUCAUACUUUCCGUUCCGAUGGCCUUCACACCAUCCACACCACCUGGAUUACCAAAAUUCCUAUUUUCAACUCCGUUUGGGAGCUUCUUCAGAUCCUUACUGGAUCCGGAAGGGGUAGGCCGUUUAUUUCCAGAUUGUUUCUUCGAUUUGCCUUGAGAUCUGGGGUUGGUGGUGCUCAAUUGACCGGAUUCGAUUCGAUCCUUGAGGUUUCGGAUCUGUUCGACCUCCGCCAUCAGCCGACUCCGUAGCUCAUUGACCUCGGCUUUGUUGUAAGAGACGACGUUAAAAGUCAAAUAUCCUCCGAAAUUCAGGCCGUCAACGUUGGUCGUUGAUUCAAUCGGCCGUUGAUUGAACGAGUAGGCAUCAUCAGACGCCGUUUGCGUCACUGCUGGCGAAUCAUCCAUAUGCCGACCAUUAGAGGUGUGAUGGAAUUGCUUCUGCUUCUUCUUAGGGUUAGGGUUGUGAUUAGGGGU
rnacentral:misc_RNA from 1 species